rnacentral:rRNA from 1 species
GACGAACGCUGGCGGCGUGCUUAACACAUGCCAGUCGAACGGAAAGGCCCUGCUUGCAGGGUACUCGAGUGGCGAACGGGUGAGUAACACGUGGGUGAUCUGCCCUGCACUUCGGGAUAAGCCUGGGAAACUGGGUCUAAUACCGGAUAGGAGCCAUUUUUAGUGUGAUGGUUGGAAAGUUUUUUCGGUGUAGGAUGAGCUCGCGGCCUAUCAGCUUGUUGGUGGGGUAAUGGCCUACCAAGGCGGCGACGGGUAGCCGGCCUGAGAGGGUGGACGGCCACAUUGGGACUGAGAUACGGCCCAGACUCCUACGGGAGGCAGCAGUGGGGAAGAUUGCACAAUGGGCGCAAGCCUGAUGCAGCGACGCCGCGUGGGGGAUGACGGCCUUCGGGUUGUAAACUCCGUUCGCUAGGGACGAAGCUUUUUGUGACGGUACCUAGAUAAGAAGCACCGGCUAACUACGUG